AGCCCAGGGCUUGGACCGGCUCAGAGCCACCUUCAAGUGACACCAUGCACCUGUAUGUGCUCCUGGCUUGUGUGCUCUGGGGGCCAGAGAGCCAUUCCGCCCCAAUGAAGAUAGCCCCUGUGUCUCCCCAGGAAAAUCACACAGCAAUCUGUGCCGAGAUUCAGAAAGAACUUUUGGCCGACCACGUUAUGUACCAUGGUUCCUUCAGCAGGCCCCAGAACACCAGUAAGGAGCCCUGCUAUGGGGAAUUCACCAAGAACUUCAUCUCCAC